AAAAUUUGGGCUAUAAUUUCAAGAUGUAUCGCGAAUUAACCCUAUUGUUUAAUUUCUCUCUCUUCUUUGGUUCUGCAUCUGCCGCCCUAUUUCUCCAUUAAAAUUCUUUCCGUUUCUAUUUGCAACCCAUAAUUUAUAUCUUCAAAUCACAAACCAACGUUGAUAGGCUACUCGUUAUCUCUAUUCCGAUUUUGUUAUAGGUUUCGAUAUGGUCAUACCCAGAUUUGUUCGUCCCAAAGAAGGAGAUAGCGAGUCAAGCCCAAACCUUUAUGUGGCAAACUGUGGCCCUGCGGUGGGACUUUCAUUUGACACCAUCGCAUCUGCGUUUAGCUCCUUUGGGGAGGUCAAAGGUGUGUACGCAGCUGAUGAAAGUGGUGCUCGUGUUAUUGUCUCUUUUCUUGAACCAGCCUCUGCUCACUCUGCUUUCAUUGCCUUGAAUGGCCGCCCUUGCCCUCACCUUGGAGGCCGCUCUUUACACAUCCGUCAUUCCAUUUUGCAACCACCGUCUUGCAGGGGAAUGGCGUCUGUUCCAGUCUCGCUAAACGCAUCGGAUUUAAAUAUUCCAGGACUCUAUUUGUUCCAUGACUUCAUCAGUGUUGUGGAAGAGGGGCAAUUGCUUCAAGCAGUUGAUACUGGAUCUUGGAUUAGUCUUUCCAAACGGAGGGUUCAGCACUAUGGAUAUAAAUUUUGUUAUGAUACUAGGAAUGUUGAUACAAAGCAGCAUUUGGGUGCACUUCCAUCAUUUGUUUCCUUUAUACUCGAGCGGAUUUCACUAUCUCCAGAUAUUCCUGAAAAACUGGAUUUGGACCAAUUGACGGUUAAUGAAUACCCACCUGGGGUGGGCUUGUCCCCGCACAUAGACACUCACUCAGCAUUUGAAGGAUUAAUUUUCAGCCUUUCACUAGCAGGGCCUUGCAUUAUGGAGUUCAGAAGAUAUACAGCAGGUUCAUGGGUUCCUAAAACUGCCUCUAUAAGUGGCACAGAAGUUGAAAAGCCUAAUAGUUGCUCGGAGGUUUCUAGGAAGGCUAUCUAUCUUCCUCCUCGGUCAAUGCUUCUUCUAUCUGGGGAGGCACGAUGUGCUUGGCAUCAUUAUAUUCCACAUCAUAAGAUAUACAGGCAGAAUUUUGAGAGGCUUGUGGUGUAAUUCGGAGAGAAACUUAAGGGGAAUCUUGAAAUCACUAACUUUCCUUCUUGCUGCUGCUUGAGAGUUGAGAUUUUCAUGCCAAUUAUAAGGUUUUAUUCUUUUACGUCUUUCGAAGAAAAUAAUAACUUGGUGAUCAGGUCAUAAGAAAGUACUGUAUGACUGUUAGAUAUUUUAUAACUUGAUUGACAAGGUGAACGAAACAAUGAUCAGAAGGGGUUCGAGAAGAGUAUCUUUCACAUUUCGUAAGGUAAGAAGAGGGCCUUGCCAAUGCGAAUUUCCCCAAUACUGUGACUCUCAAUCCC